rnacentral:rRNA from 1 species
UGGGGAAUAUUGGACAAUGGGCGCAAGCCUGAUCCAGCCAUGCCGCGUGUGUGAAGAAGGCUUUCGGGUUGUAAAGCACUUUCAUCAGUGAGGAAAGGUUAGUAGUUAAUACCUGCUAGCUGUGACGUUAACUGAAGAAGAAGCACCGGCUAACUCCGUGCCAGCAGCCGCGGUAAUACGGAGGGUGCAAGCGUUAAUCGGAAUUACUGGGCGUAAAGCGCGCGUAGGUUGAUUGCUAAGCGAGAUGUGAAAGCCCCGGGCUUAACCUGGGAACUGCAUUUCGAACUGGUCGUCUAGAGUACAGUAGAGGGUGGCGGAAUUUCCUGUGUAGCGGUGAAAUGCGUAGAGAUGGGAAGGAACAUCAGUGGCGAAGGCGGCCACCUGGACUGAUACUGACACUGAGGUGCGAAAGCGUGGGGGAGCAAACAGGAUUAGAUACCC